CGUUUUUAUCAAAAAUCAUGUGAGCAGACUGCAGUUCUUCUUUAAGUGAAUAAUGUCUUAUUCCUUUAGGUGGCGAUAUAAAACGCCCUGGUGGAGAUGCAGAAGAGCAGUGUCCAUCAAUGAACUGAGAAAGGGAAUUUUUGGUGUACUUUCAUCAAUGACAUGUAAAAAUAGAAGACAGUGAAGACUCCAUUUUGUCACAAUAUGAAAUAUUACUUCGAACCUGCUGUAGCAGUCUGCCGUUUCCUAGCAUAUUCAUUGCCAGCACAUGAAGUCCACCUCAAAGCCAACUUACAACAGAUAAUUCAGUGUGUGAGCCAAAAUGAACAUCCAACAAGCCAGACAUGCCGUGAAAGACAGGGACCGUGAUCACGCUGAAACUGUAAGUCCAAUUUACUAUUCAGUACACAUUAAAG